UACGUAGGGUGCGAGCGUUGUCCGGAAUUAUUGGGCGUAAAGAGCUCGUAGGCGGUGUGUCGCGUCGGCCGUGAAAACCUGGGGCUCAACUCUGGGCGUGCGGUCGAUACGGGCAUCACUUGAGUUUCGGCAGGGGGAGACUGGAAUUCCUGGUGUAGCGGUGAAAUGCGCAGAUAUCAGGAGGAACACCGGUGGGCGAAGGCGGGGUCUCUGGGCCGGUACCGACGCUGGAGGAGCGAAAGCGUGGGG
rnacentral:rRNA from 1 species